GAUGAACGCUAGCGGCAAGCCUAAUACAUGCAAGUCGAACGGUCCACUUCGGUGGAUAGUGGCGCACGGGUGCGUAACACGUAUGCAACCUACCUUACAUUGGGGGAUAGCCUUUCGAAAGGGAGAUUAAUACCGCAUAAGACAGUAACAUGGCAUCAUGUAGCUGUUAAAGAUUUAUCGAUGUAAGCUGGGCAUGCGUCCAAUUAGUUAGUUGGUGAGGUAAAGGCUCACCAAGACGAUGAGUGGUAGGGGAACUGAGAGGUCAAUCCCCCACACUGGCACUGAGACACGGGCCAGACUCCGACGGGAGGCAGCAGUAGGGAAUAUUGGGCAAUGGACGCAAGUCUGACCCAGCCAUGCCGCGUGCAGGAAGAAGGCGUUCUGCGUUGUAAACUGCUUUUAUAUAGGAAGAAACGACCCUUGCGAGGGGCAUUGACGGUAUUAUAUGAAUAAGCACCGGCUAACUCCGUGCCAGCCGCCGCUGUAAGAC
rnacentral:rRNA from 1 species